GGAGAUUCUCGCCGGCGCGCAUCGUCACGCACGGUGGCCCUGUACGCCCGGGCGGGCGGGGCUCAGGCAGGGGAAGUGCGGGGAGCGGCACCGCCCGGCUCGUCCGGGACGAGAGUGGGGCCCGGCCGGGGAGGGUCUGCAGCGGACCGGGGGACAGGCUGGAGGGGGCUGUCCUCUUCCUCUGAGAUUAGAGCUCACGCCUGGGAGUUCCGGAUGGGGACACGCCGGGGGAUGGGGUGGGCUGCAGAAAUGGGCGUGGAAAGUGAGCAAGGGCUGCGCCGGCGGAAGCGGCAGCCGGGAGACAAUGCCGUCCUCGGACCCGGCUUCCCUGCUUUCGCGGGUCCAGGCGCUCAGCGGGUUGCUCGCGGGCGGUGCAUCCUUCCCACUUCACCCAGCGCAGCUGCUGGGCCCCUGGCCCACUCAGCCUAUCUCCGACUGGAGAAUUGUAUUGCUAAAGCAAGUGUGACGCCCUUUAGGGCCAGCCCGCAAGUCACCGACUUCUGCAGCUCUCCCGGAGGGCCCACGCCCGGCGAGCAUGUCUUGGCGCUCAGGCCCUGGCCUCCUCCAUCCCCGGAGUCUCUUCCUCCUGUUGGAAGCCUUUGGUAUCUGGGGUGACCGUUCAGGCACCCACUCCCCAGGUGUCAUCUUUUUUAUAGAGCCACUUGGUGCACAGGAAGUUUGCUGGGGUGGGAAAGAUACCUAGAAAACUAGUCAGCUUCAAAAGCGGGGAACGCGGAAUCAGAGAUGUUCAUGCAACUACUAGAAGUGAUAACAACGGUAGCGUUCUCGGGUAAAUUCUUCUGUGUGCUGGACACUACCUGGAGCUUUACUGCCUUGCAAGAUACCAGGCCACGUUCCUGGGCCCCAUUUGCCCCAUGAAGAUGGCGGAUCGUAGACCUCUGCUAAUAGGCUGGUCUGGUCCCUGGGAUGAAGAAUUGACUACGCCAUGUGGUCCCCUGAGAUGGCCAGAGUACACAACCCCCCACCUCUACCCCAGCCCUGAAUCCUGAGAACACCUGGCCAGUCCUUCCAAAGGUAUGGUGGAAUCCAGAGGGAGAUGGCUUGCAUUCCAGGACAGCCCUCAGUAGUCCAGGGGCCUGACGGUUGCCAACACCACCUGAAAAGGAGCAGCUCAGAUGAUUGAAGCCAGAGCUCUGCUCCAGAGCACAGCCCCCACUCCCUGACCUUACAGCUGUGGCAUCCUGAGUCACCUCUCUGAUUCCCUAGGUGAGUCUCAGGUGCUGCCAGGAAUAAGAACCACUGAUUUAGACCCUGGCUUUCCAUGGGAACGUCUAAAGGAGACUUCUGAAAUGAAUCGACUGGUAAUAUAUUUCUUUUUAAUUGUACUUUAGGUGAAGGUUUACAGAACAAAUGUUUUCUCAUUAA